rnacentral:ncRNA from 1 species
ACAGACUUAGUCCUAACCUUACAGUUAACUCUUGCCAGACGUAUACAUGCAAGUAUCCGCACCCCAGUGUAAACGCCCACAACCCCUGCCCCAAACCCGGGCAGAAAUGAGGAGCAGGCAUCAGGCACACUACAAGUAGCCCAAAACGCCUAUGCUCAGCCACACCCCCACGGGUACUCAGCAGUAACUAACAUUAAGCAAUAAGUGCAAACUUGACUUAGCCAUGGCAAACCACACAGGGCUGGUAAAUCUUGUGCCAGCUACCGCGGCCAUACAAGAAGCCCAAGUUAACCGUCACUCGGCGUAAAGAGUGGUAUUACAUUAUUACCCAACUAAGACCGAAACGCAACCAAGCCGUCAUAAGCCCACGAUGCGCCCAAGACCACCAUGAAGACGGUCCUAGCUAAAAGAUCUAUUAAGCACCACGAAAGCCAAGGCACAAACUGGGAUUAGAUACCCCACUAUGCUUGGCCCUAAAUCCAGAUACUCACUACCACUAGAGUAUCCGCCUGAGAACUACGAGCACAAACGCUUAAAACUCUAAGGACUUGGCGGUGCCCCAAACCCACCUAGAGGAGCCUGUUCUGUAAUCGAUAACCCACGAUAUACCCAACCCCUUCUUGCCCAAAGCAGCCUACAUACCGCCGUCCCCAGCUCACCUCCCCUGAGAGCCUAAAUAGUGAGCACAACAACACCUCGCUAAUAAGACAGGUCAAGGUAUAGCCCAUGAAGGGGUAGAAAUGGGCUACAUUUUCUAAAAUAGAAAAUCAACGAAAGGAGGUUUGAAACAACCUCCAGAAGGAGGAUUUAGCAGUAAAGGGCGGCAAGAAUACCCCCUUAAACCUGGCCCUGGAGCACGUACAUACCGCCCGUCACCCUCCUCAUGGCCCGUAAAUGCCUGUAAUUAACCCACAAUUUAAACCUGCCAAAGAUGAGGUAAGUCGUAACAAGGUAAGUGUACCGGAAGGUGCACUUAGCAC